rnacentral:lncRNA from 1 species
CGCAUAUGGAGGUUCCCAGGCUAGGGGUCAAAUCGGAGCUAUAGGUGCCAGCCUACACCACAGCCACAGGAAUACGGGAUCCAAGCUGCAUCAGCUUAGGGCAGCGCCAGAUCCCUAAUGCACUUAGCGAGGCCAGGGAUCAAACCCACAUCCUCGUGGAUUCCAGUGGGAUUCAGUUCAGCUGCACCAUGAAGGUAACUCCCCAGAAUCUGUGUGGCUCCGUGCCUGCCACCCAGUAGGGACUUGCUCAUCCAGCAUCUAUUAUUUAUUACAAACGCAAAUUGGGGGGGGGGGGUAAGCGCACUGUGCAGUUUGCCCUGCUCCCUCUGGGAGUGACCCUGGGUGCACACUUGCCUAUAAAUUACUCCAGGAGGUUUGACAAACGGCUGCAGGAUCACCCUCGAGGCACUGCACCUUUCCUUGAGUAUCAGUGACCCCAAUUUCAGCUGGGGGGGGAUAAAUCUUCUUCCAUUUUAAUAAAAUUUCUCAGGAGUUAAUGGCAAGUAGGAAUGUCACUGGAGGAAGCCUCUGGAAACUGCAGAGCUGAGCGUGGGGAGUGUCCCAGGGGGCCAACCUCUGAGAAGAUGCCCGUGUACUGUGAUGGGGAACAUUUUGAACCUGAAACAGGAGGAAUGUGGUGGGGAAGGUGGGGCGAAUUCAAUCUCCUCAGCCUCCCCCACACAAAUCAAUCACAAAGGAAAUGGGCAUUUGAGGAAAAAGUUCCUUUAAAAUGUAUUGCUAUUUGUAUUUCUAUUACCUCAUCUCAUAAAUCUCGUUUCCCGCGUCCUAUGAUUCCUUGAGCAGAACAGCCCGGAUCUUUUACAGUCUCUUAAUGGGCUCAUUUUUUUUUUGACUCUUUGAGACAGACAAAGGAGUCUUGGAAUCCACCAGAUGGGAACGGGAGCAGGUUAGAGGACCAACUAGAGGGUCACUUCAGACGCAGAAAAGCUGAUGGGAAGCUGACCUUCCAGACAUCUUCAAGUUACUGAAAUUUUUGACUUCCCUUCUGAAGAAGAUUUCAAGGCAAUAAAAACAUAAUCAGAAGGUCUAUGUUAUAACUUACUUAAGACUGCUUUGUUUCAUGUUCAGCAUCCAUAUGUCCUGAAGUUUAUUCAACGGGUACUGUUCCCCCUAUUUUACUGUUCAAUUGUAUUUCAUUCCACUGUUUGGAUAGCAUCGAUGUGUCCACAAACUUCCCAUAUUUUAGCUACCAAAGGAUAUAAUCCAGUUUGCCUCACAUCCCCCACAUUAUAAAAAAUGCGAUAAUUUUUGGUUGAGGAAAUAAAACCAUUGCAAUAUACACCCUUUCUUUUGCAAAUGAGGAAAGUUGGAUCUUACUACAGGUUGGUGUCAGCACCAUGAGGCUGAAAUCCAGUUUUUCUGACCCUUGAUACAUCACUCCCUUCUCCUACACUAGGCAGCCAUCAUAUUCACUGCAAGCUCUUAAAAGCCUUUGUUCAUAAAAAGUUGAAGAAGCACUUUAAUCCCGACAAUAUAUCCCAGAACCCCCAGCCCUGUCUCGUUACAGAGAAGAAAAAUCAAGUUGAAUGCUAUGUACAUAAUGUCAUGGAGGCAUUCUCUUUAUUUUAUCGAUCUAAAUUUUUAUUUUUAAUUUUUUUAUUUUACGUGUAUAUGUGUCAUCAGCACAUCCUCUUCCUUCAAACAUGCAGAAUCAGGUCUGAUUGUUUUUGCAUCCACAGGAGGCUUAUUGCGUCAAGUCUUGGCAUCUCUACUUGAUUUAAAACAAAGCACUUUGUGGAGAUAAUAAGAUACUCAAAACUCUUCUUGUCCAGGUCCAGCACCUGCCAUGUUCCAGGAACUAUACUAGCUAUUAGGUAUUAGAAGUUAAUAAAAAGUUGAAGGCCCUACCCUCUUAGAAUUUAGAGUUGGACUUAAGCAUCCUGAGCACGAGCGUCUAAGAAGGGCUCUUAGGCUGUCCAGGUCUCGAAAACCCAAGGUCUGGCACAGUUUAAUUAAAUGACCAUCCUUCCCAAUUAGCCGUGAAAAACACUGCUUGUAUAACUAUGUCAUUAUCACUUCCUGCCUGGAUUAGUGUAAUCCGUGAUAUGCAGGCCUUCUGUGCUCCAGCAUUUCCUCUGGGGAUUUGCAACUUUUGCAAAACCCGAGCUUUAGAAUGCAGGCUGGAGCCAAAAGUUCAUUACUCACUUCACUCCUAUGCCAAGCAAGCUUCAUGGGCUUCCUUGACAGUGCAGCACGCACAGUACAUGUUCUGUAGUUCAAAGGAUGAGCAGAAAGCUCUUCCCCAGACCUGGGGCUGUCUUGGCAGUUUAAGUACACACUUCUCUCACCCCAAGCAAAAGGUGGCAAGUGCCAGCCCCAGACAACAUAUGUGUUCAUCUCCUGUUGCCUGUCAAGAAAAAGCUAGAUGCUAUAGAAAUGAUUCAGACUCUCAGCGGGACUGGCUGGGCCCUUUCUUGCAACUCCACAGUUUUGUUUUUUAGAACAGCUACUCCCUGGGGGACUUCCUCAGGUAGGACAACGGUCUUUAGGACCACGAUGUUCAUUUUUUUCUAUCAGAAACUCACUUUUCUUUUUUCAGAAAUGAAGUAAUACUAGAGAUCAAGCAGAAAUAUUUCAGACAAGGAAGCGGAAGCUGAGAGAAGCAGAGAGCAUGCUUUAGCCAAGGUCACAGCUAGGAC